UUUGUGCUGGACGAUCUCCUUCCUGCUUUGAGAGAUGUGCCACAGAUUCUUGCAAGCCUUCAGCAUCGUGAAGCAGCGGGCCCCAUGCUUCCAGGAGUGCCCGGGAAUGUGAUGGAGAACACGGUACACUUCGGUGAUAUCGUGGUGACCGACGUCCAGAUGAAGCGGCUCGACGGAAAGCCGGCAUCCCUGUACACACAGGACCUGGCUGUGAUGGUGUUCGGGAGCGACGCUCUGGCAGAGUGCUGCCUUUCCGGCUCUGUGACGAAAUCAUCCCUGCCUAA